rnacentral:rRNA from 1 species
AGUGAACGCUGGCGGUAGGCCUAACACAUGCAAGUCGAACGGCAGCACGGUAAGAGCUUGCUCUUACGGGUGGCGAGUGGCGGACGGGUGAGGAAUACAUCGGAAUCUACUUUUUCGUGGGGGAUAACGUAGGGAAACUUACGCUAAUACCGCAUACGACCUACGGGUGAAAGCAGGGGAUCUUCGGACCUUGCGCGAUUGAAUGAGCCGAUGUCGGAUUAGCUAGUUGGCGGGGUAAAGGCCCACCAAGGCGACGAUCCGUAGCUGGUCUGAGAGGAUGAUCAGCCACACUGGAACUGAGACACGGUCCAGACUCCUACGGGAGGCAGUAGUGGGGAAUAUUGGACAAUGGGCGCAAGCCUGAUCCAGCCAUACCGCGUGGGUGAAGAAGGCCUUCGGGUUGUAAAGCCCUUUUGUUGGGAAAGAAAAGCAGCAGGUUAAUACCCCGCUGUUCUGACGGUACCCAAAGAAUAAGCACCGGCUAACUUCGUG